UCCGUAGGUGAACCUGCGGAAGGAUCAUUACAGAGUUCAUGCCCUCACGGGUAGAUCUCCCACCCUUGAAUAUUAUACCUUCGUUGCUUUGGCAGGCCGUGGAAACACCAGAGGCUCCGGCUGAUGCGUGCCUGCCAGAGGAAACAAACUCUGUUUUUAGUGAUGUCUGAGUACUAUAUAAUAGUUAAAACUUUCAACAACGGAUCUCUUGGUUCUGGCAUCGAUGAAGAACGCAGCGAAAUGCGAUAAGUAAUGUGAAUUGCAGAAUUCAGUGAAUCAUCGAAUCUUUGAACGCACAUUGCGCCCCGUGGUAUUCCGCGGGGCAUGCCUGUUCGAGCGUCAUUUCAACCCAUCAAGCUUCGGCUUGGUCUUGGGGCCUGCGGUUUCGCAGCCUCUAAACGCAGUGGCGGUGCUAUUGAGCUCUGAGCGUAGUAAUUUCUCUCGCUAUAGAGUCUCGGUGGUGACUUGCCAACAACCCCCAAUUUUUAUCAGGUUGACCUCGGAUCAGGUAGGGAUACCCGCUGAACUUAAGCAUAUCAAUAAGCGGAGGA
rnacentral:rRNA from 2 species